rnacentral:rRNA from 1 species
AAAACAGUUAUAGUUUAUUUGAUGGUCCCUUACUAAUUGGAUAACCGUAGUAAUUCUAGAGCUAAUACAUGCAUAAAGCCCAGACUUACGAAUGGGUGUGUUUAUUAGAUAAAACCAAUUGCCCUCUGGGUACCUGGUGAUUCAUAGUAACUUCUCGGAUCGGAUGUCUUAGACGCCGACAGAUCAUUCAAAUUUCUGCCCUAUCAGCUUUCGAUGGUACGGUAGUGGCCUACCAUGGCGGUGACGGGUGACGGAGAAUUAGGGUUCGAUUCCGGAGAGGGAGCCUGAGAAACGGCUACCACAUCUAAGGAAGGCAGCAGGCGCGUAAAUUACCCAAUCCUGACGCAGGGAGGUAGUGACAAGAAAUAUCAAUAGAUUGAACACAGUUCUGUCUAAUUGGAAUGAGUACAUUCUAAACCCCUUAACGAGAACCAAUUGGAGGGCAAGUCUGGUGCCAGCAGCCGCGGUAAUUCCAGCUCCAAUAGCGUAUACUAAAGUUGUUGCAGUUAAAAAGCUCGUAGUUGGAUUUCUGUGCGGAGGUUCUUGGUCCGCUUCUAUGAGGUGGUUCCUUGACCGUCGUACAUCCUGUUGGCAGACACGUACUGGUAUUCAUUUAUCGGUGCGGGGAGACCCUCGUUUACUUUGAGAAAAUUAAAGUGUUCAAAGCAGGCAAUCGCUUGAAUACAUUAGCAUGGAAUAAUAGUAUAGGACUUUGAUCUUAUUUGUUGGUUUUAAAGAUCAAAGUAAUGAUUGAUAGGGACAGUUGGGGGCAUCAGUAUUCCGAAGCGAGAGGUGAAAUUCUUGGACCUUCGGAAGACUAACAACUGCGAAAGCAUUUGCCAAGGAUGUUCUCUUUAAUCAAGAACGAAAGUUAGGGGAUCGAAGACGAUCAGAUACCGUCGUAGUCUUAACUAUAAACUAUGCCAGCUAGGGAUCGGUGAACGUUGUUUCGACUUCAUCAGUACCUUAUGAGAAAUCAAAGCAUUUGGGUUCCGGGGGGAGUAUGGUCGCAAGGCUGAAACUUAAAGGAAUUGACGGGAGGGCACCCCAGGAGUGGAGCCUGUGGCUUAAUUUGACUCAACCACGGGAAAA